GUCGAGAAUCUUUCACAAUGGGGGCAACCCUGAUGGAGCGACGCCGCGUGGAGGAUAAGGUCUUCGGAUUGUAAACUCCUGUCAUGCGUGAACAAGGUUGCUUGGAUAAUACCUGAGCAAAUUGAUGGUAGCGCAAGAGGAAGAGACGGCUAACUCUGUGCCAGCAGCCGCGGUAAUACAGAGGUCUCAAGCGUUGUUCGGAAUCACUGGGCGUAAAGGGUGCGUAGGUGGCGUGGCAAGUCAGAUGUGAAAGCCCGGGGCUCAACCUCGGAACUGCAUCCGAUACGGCCAUGCUAGAGUACUGGAGGGGUGACUAGAAUUCUCGGUGUAGCAGUGAAAUGCGUAGAUAUCGAGAGGAAUACCAAAGGCGUAGGCAGGUCACUGGACAGUUACUGACACUGAGGCACGAAGGCCAGGGGAGCGAACGGGAUUAGAAACCCGAGUAGUCC
rnacentral:rRNA from 1 species